UUGUUUCUUACAAUUAAAAUGUUACAGCAUUGCUUAAUGAUGCUGAGGAGAAGAAAUUCCAUAGCCCUGCAGUGGAGAAGUGUUUGCACAUUGCUAAAGAUGCUCUUUAUGAUGCUGAUGACAUAUUGGAUGAGCUUGCUACCGAAACCUUGAGAUGUAAGCUGGAAACUGAAUCUAAGGCUGGCCCAAAUCAGGAAAGUUUUGCUGAAAAGAAGCUAUAAUCGACCAAGAUUUAAGGUUUUAAGAUGGGGAGAUAGCUUGGCAAA